UACAGAGGGUGCAAGUGUUAAUCGGAAUUACUGGGCGUAAAGCGCGCGUAGGCGGCUGUCUAAGUCGGGUGUGAAAGCCCCGGGCUCAACCUGGGAACUGCAUUCGAUACUGGAAGGCUUGAAUUCGGGAGAGGGAUGCGGAAUUCCAAGGUGUAGCGGUGAAAUGACGUAGAUAUCUGGAGGAACACCGGUGGCGAAGGCGGCAUCCUGGACCGGCAUUGACGCUGAGGAGCGAAAGCUAGGGGAGCAAACGGGG
rnacentral:rRNA from 1 species